GAUGAAGAACGUAGCGAAAUGCGAUAAGUAAUGUGAAUUGCAGAAUUCAGUGAAUCAUCGAAUCUUUGAACGCACAUUGCGCCCCCUGGUAUUCCGGGGGGCAUGCCUGUUCGAGCGUCAUUACAACCCUCAAGCUCUGCUUGGUAUUGGGUGUCACCCCCGGGUGCGCCUUAAAAUCAGUGGCGGUGCCGUCUGGCUUCAAGCGUAGUAAUACUUCUCGCUUUGGAGUCCGGGCGAGCGUCCUGCCAAAACCCCCAUAUUUUUUCAGGUUGACCUCGGAUCAGGUAGGGAUACCCGCUGAACUUAAGCAUAUCAAUAAGCGGAGGA
rnacentral:misc_RNA from 1 species